rnacentral:misc_RNA from 1 species
UUUCCGUAGGUGAACCUGCGGAAGGAUCAUUAAAGAGUAAGGGUCUUCGGGCCCGACCUCCAACCCUUUGUUUAACUACCAUGUUGCUUUGGCGGGCCCGUCUCACGACCGCCGGAAGUUUGGCUUCGACCAAACUUCUGGCCCGUGCCCGUCAGUGGCCCCUUCAAAUUCUUGAUCAAGUAUGAUGUCUUAGUUAAAAACUUAAUAGUUAAAACUUUCAACAACGGAUCUCUUGGUUCUG